UAUCAUUUCAUAUUAAUUUAUCUGCAUUUAUCUUUAUAAAAGCUGUUUCGCUUUUGCAAUUAAAAAAAUAAAAACACAACUUUACCACAACUUUGAACAUCUUUACUGACAAAAAAAUAAACAUCACAGCAGAAGAAAGCACAAUUUAAACACAAAAAUUUGAUGUAAAAUUAGAUGAAUUACUGCAUUUAUUUUUAUUUUUACACCAUCCCUGAUGCCCCAAAAUAACCCGUGUAUUACCUGUACAAGUAUAAUGAAUAACCGUCUUGUCUGAAUGUUUCCCACGCCCGAAUAUUAACAACACACCACAAACUGUGAAACUUAAAAACACCAGGUUGUACUGAGUUAGCAAACAAGUGCUCGCUAACAUAAGCUCACAACUUUGCUUCGCUAGUUAGCAGGAUAGCUUGGUAGCAUGUCCACUUGAAAUGACAGGUUGUUGUACGUCUGCGAUCACACACAAUUACAGAACAAAUACCCCAGCUAACAGCUGCUAGCUAGUUACAUUUUUAGAAAGGUUGGAAGCUCAAUUCCGAAAAAAGUUAAAAAUGUAUUUUUUGUUUGUUCGUUUUUAUUACUCUCGACAAUUUGGUGAUUUUUGGGGGUGGAUAAAUAAUUAGCGAGACAAGAACACAAAUGAGAAAAUAACUUAUCAUGAGGCUAAAAUCUGGUAGCGUUUGUUGAAUUCUUGAUUUUGAUUGGUCGGAACACAGCAACACUUCAUAGCAACAGUCAGUUAUUUCUUCUUGGCGGAAUGUUGCUUCAAAGAACAGACCGUUGCCAUGGAUACAGCCUUGAUCAAAGACAAUGAUAUCAGCAAAUCAGGACUGUGCCCUGGUCGUCGUAGUCCUGGACCCCCUUUUCUGGCUACUCUUGAAAGUCCCUUAACAGCCAUGCAUGAUAUCUUUAAUCAGCGGUUCUCAACUGGUGGGUCCCAACCCAAAAGUGGGUCGUGGACGCGUUCUGGACGGGUCGAAAACAGCUGGUCAAAAAACUAAAUAUUUCAUGCACAUCUGAUGUUUGACAUGUCUUUUAUUUUGAAAAAUAUCUUAUUUUGUGCAAUUUGGUAUUUAUGUGAUGUUUGAUAAAUUCUGUUCUCGUCCUCUUAAAUGCACUUUACUCAAUAAAACAGGUGAAUUUGUGUUAAAGAUUUGAGCCCUAAGGACCAUGGGAAAAUGUGGGUCCCAGAGUGAGACCAGUUGAGAACCACUGUCUUGAAUAUUUAGUUUUCAGACUGAGGUGGAGGCUCGUAGCAGAUCACAGCUAUAGAUGUUGGACCAUGAACCCAAAGUCCAACAUGGAGCGGCUGCGUGAAUGUAGUCUGGACUCUGUGGAGGAGAGUCAUCGUAUCGGAGACGUCAUAGAAGGACAGGAUACCUGCUCCGUGGUCCAGGUACACCCCCACUCUCGAGGACAGAGGGUAGGGUUUGGCAGCUUGGAUGUAGACAUGUCUGACUACAAAACGACCUUUGAAACAAUCCAAAGCCCACGACCCGCCGUAGAAUCCAAAGAUGUUCUCAGUUCCCGCUCUGCCGAUGUCCUUAUAUGAGACGGCGACGGAAAGAGCGCCGCCGCUCCGUUCCACCUCGAAGUAAUGACGUCCGGUGAGGCUCUCUUUACUCAUGACCUGAGACCCGUCUAUGAAUCUGUCCGGGUGACUUGGAUAAACCUGAUCUUCUUCCGUUCUUGUUGCUUUACGGUUCCCCUCCGAUAGUACCAGGGUUUUGUUUACCGUGUUUGGAUCCAGUGUUAUCUCACAAGAAUAUUUCAGGAACUCAGCCCUCGUUUUCAGCUCUUCCGCCUCCGCUGUAGUCCCUGUCGGCAACAUCUUGGAUUGAUCCUCAUCCAUACCCUCUGGGUUAUCAGCUUUCACAUCGCAGGCCUCGUCUGCAGGUCCUGGUGGAGUUCCACGUCCUGCCUCCCCCGGCUGCUCCAUUAUAUCCUUGUCAGGAGAUUUGUCCAAAACGAGGACAGCUGUAGGUCUCCCCUCGUUCUCUUCAACACUCUGCAGCUUGUGCAGAAGCUGAGCCCAAAAAGAGUAGCAUCCAGAUCUUUUAGUAGUUUUUCCUGUAUUGACUGAACUCUUGUUGCACCAGUCCAACCCUUAAAAACAGUCCAUAAGCUCUCAAGUCAGCGUUGCCCUUCGAUCAAAACAAAAACAGAGUUAUUUCCCUUUAUGUGUGGUUGCUGAUCUGCAUCAAAUAGGGAUCGUCAUCCUGCGUGUAACAACAUGUUGGUCCCACCCAUCUGUUCACGAGGAGAUCAAGGAAGUAGGCU
rnacentral:lncRNA from 1 species